rnacentral:lncRNA from 10 species
GCCAAUCAAAGUGUUUCUCAGGAAUUAGGAAUUUCACACAUAAAAUUUUGUGCAUUUUGAUGUGAAAGGCCCCAUGUUAGUUGCUGUUGUGGUGGUGGUGGAGGGAGUGUGUGGAACAGGGAAGAAUACAUGGGAAGAAGUCUGCCCUUGAGUUGACAGCUUGUCAUAGAGGAAGUUAGGUAACAACACAGGCAACAAGAGUGGAAAGUCAAAUGUUGUAAAUGCAAAUAAAAGGCUGCAAACAAUAUGGAGCCACAGCAAUUGGAGAAAUC